AGAGUUUGAUCAUGGCUCAGAACGAACGCUGGCGGCAGGCCUCAAACAUGCAAGUCUAGGGGGUGUAGCAAUACAUCACCGGCGGACGGGUGCGUAACGCGUGGGAAUAUACCUAUUGGUUCGGAACAACUGAGGGAAACUUCAGCUAAUACCGGAUACGUCCUAACGGAGAAAGAUUUAUCGCCAAUAGAUUAGCCCGCGUUCGAUUAGCUAGUUGGUGGGGUAACGGCCCACCAAGGCGACGAUCGAUAGCUGUUCUGAGAGGAAGAUCAGCCACACUGGGACUGAGACACGGCCCAGACUCCUACGGGAGGCAGCAGUUGGGAAUCUUGGACAAUGGGGGAAACCCUGAUCCAGCCAUGCCGCGUGAGUGAUGAAGGCCUUCGGGUUGUAAAACUCUUUCGCGCACGACGAUAAUGACGGUAGUGCGAGAAGAAGCUCCGGCUAACUUCGUGCCAGCAGCCGCGGUAAUACGAAGGGGGCUAGCGUUGUUCGGAAUUACUGGGCGUAAAGCGCGCGCAGGCGGUCUUCCAAGUCAGUGGUGAAAGCCCGGAGCUCAACUCCGGAACUGCCAUUGAAACUGUGAGACUUGAGUAUGAGAGAGGUGAGUGGAAUUCCCAGUGUAGAGGUGAAAUUCGUAGAUAUUGGGAAGAACACCGGUGGCGAAGGCGGCUCACUGGCUCAUUACUGACGCUCAGGCGCGACAGCGUGGGGAUCAAACAGGAUUAGAUACCCUAGUAGUCC
rnacentral:rRNA from 1 species